rnacentral:rRNA from 1 species
UUAAGCAUAUCAAUAAGCGGAGGAAAAGAAACUAACAAGGAUUCCCUUAGUAACUGCGAGUGAAGCGGGAAAAGCUCAAAUUUAAAAUCUGGCGGUUCUGCCGUCCGAGUUGUAAUUUAGAGAAGUGCUAUCCGCGCUGGACCGUGUACAAGUUCCCUGGAAUGGGACGUCAUAGAGGGUGAGAAUCCCGUCUUUGACACGGACUACCAGGGCAUUGUGAUGCGCUCUCGAAGAGUCGAGUUGUUUGGGAAUGCAGCUCAAAAUGGGUGGUAAAUUCCAUCUAAAGCUAAAUAUUGGGGAGAGACCGAUAGCGAACAAGUACCGUGAGGGAAAGAUGAAAAGAACUUUGGAAAGAGAGUUAAACAGUACGUGAAAUUGCUGAAAGGGAAACGCUUGAAGUCAGUCGCGUCGUUCAGGAUUCAGCCUUGCCUUUGCUUGGUGUACUUCCUGUUCGACGGGUCAGCAUCAGUUUUGGCCGGUGGAAAAAGGCUCAGAGAAUGUGGCACCUUCGGGUGUGUUAUAGCUCUGGGUCACAUACAUCGGCUGGGACUGAGGAACUCAGCACGCCGCAAGGCCGGGUUUCGACCACGUUCGUGCUUAGGAUGCUGGCAUAAUGGCUUUAAUCGACCCGUGUUGAG